GUUGUAUGGUCAAGUAAUGAAGUGCACAUGGUGGAUGCCUUGGCAGUCAGAGGCGAUGAAAGACGUGAUAGCCUGCGAUAAGCGUCGGUGAGGUGGCAAUAUCCUGUGACCCGGCGAUUUCUGAAUGGGGAAACCCAACCAACAUAAGUUGGUUAUUACACAGUUUACUGUGUAAGGCAAACCGGGAGAAGUGAAACAUCUCAGUACCCCGAGGAAAAGACAUCAAAUGAGAUUCCGUAAGUAGCGGCGAGCGAACACGGAGGAGCCGAUCAAUUUUACAGUAGCAAAAUGGCGUGGGAAAGCCAACCAUAGUAGGUGAUAGUCCUGUAUGCGAAACUGUUUAAGCGACAUAUUAAGUAGGGCGGAACACGAGAAAUUCUGUCUGAAGAUGGGGGGACCAUCCUCCAAGGCUAAAUACUCCUGACUGACCGAUAGUGAACCAGUACCGUGAGGGAAAGGCGAAAAGAACCCCUGUUAGGGGAGUGAAAUAGAACCUGAAACCGUGUGCAUACAAGCAGUCGGAGCGGACUUGUUCCGUGACGGCGUACCUUUUGUAUAAUGGGUCAGCGACUUAUAUUCUGUAGCAAGGUUAACCGAAUAGGGGAGCCGUAGGGAAACCGAGUCUUAAUAGGGCGAAUGAGUUGCAGGGUAUAGACCCGAAACCGAGUGAUCUAUCCAUGAGCAGGUUGAAAGUGCCGUAACAGGCACCGGAGGACCGAACCCACUGUCGUUGAAAAGCCAGGGGAUGACUUGUGGAUAGGGGUGAAAGGCUAAUCAAACUCGGUGAUAGCUGGUUCUCCCCGAAAGCUAUUUAGGUAGCGCCUCGGACGAACACCAUUGGGGGUAGAGCACUGUUUCGGCUAGGGGGUCAUCCCGACUUACCAAACCGAUGCAAACUCCGAAUACCGAUGAGUGAUAUCCGGGAGACAGACGGCGGGUGCUAACGUCCGUCGUCAAGAGGGAAACAACCCAGACCGCCAGCUAAGGCCCCAAAUUCCUAGUUAAGUGGGAAACGAUGUGGGAAGGCACAGACAGCUAGGAGGUUGGCUUAGAAGCAGCCACCCUUUAAAGAAAGCGUAAUAGCUCACUAGUCGAGUCGGCCUGCGCGGAAGAUGUAACGGGGCUCAAACUAGGAGCCGAAGCUGCGGAUUUAAUUGUUUCAAUUAAGUGGUAGGGGAGCGUUGUGUAAGCCUGUGAAGGUGCACUGUAAGGUGUGCUGGAGGUAUCACAAGAGCGAAUGCUGACGUGAGUAACGACAAAACGGGUGAAAAGCCCGUUCGCCGGAAGACCAAGGGUUCCAGUCCAACGUUAAUCGGGGCUGGGUGAGUCGACCCCUAAGGCGAGGCCGAAAGGCGUAGUCGAUGGGAAAUCGGUUAAUAUUCCGAUACUUGUUUAUGAUGCGAUGGAGGGACGGAGAAGGUUAUGCCAGCCUGGCGAUGGUUGUCCAGGUGGAAGGAUGUAGUUAGACUGAGUAGGCAAAUCCGCUCGGUUAUUAAUGAGAUCUGAUAGCAAGCCAGUUUACUGGCGAAGUGGCAAAUACCCUGCUUCCAGGAAAAGCUUCUAAGCGAUAGUCAUAAACGAAUCGUACCCGAAACCGACACAGGUGGUCAGGUAGAGAAUACCAAGGCGCUUGAGAGAACUCUGCUGAAGGAACUAGGCAAAAUGGUACCGUAACUUCGGGAGAAGGUACGCUGCCGAUGGUGAUGAAACUUGCUUUCUGAGCUGUUGGCAGUCGCAGAUACCAGGCUGCUGCAACUGUUUAUUAAAAACACAGCACUCUGCAAACACGAAAGUGGACGUAUAGGGUGUGAUGCCUGCCCGGUGCUGGAAGGUUAAUUGAUGGGGUUAGCGUAAGCGAAGCUCUUGAUCGAAGCCCCAGUAAACGGCGGCCGUAACUAUAACGGUCCUAAGGUAGCGAAAUUCCUUGUCGGGUAAGUUCCGACCUGCACGAAUGGCAUAAUGAUGGCAGCGCUGUCUCCAGCAGAGACUCAGUGAAAUCGAAAUCGCAGUGAAGAUGCUGUGUACCCGCGGCUAGACGGAAAGACCCCGUGAACCUUUACUACAGCUUUACAUUGAACUUUGACCUAACUUGUGUAGGAUAGGUGGGAGGCUUUGAAGCAGAUACGCCAGUAUCUGUGGAGCCAACCUUGAAAUACCACCCUGGUUAUGUUGGGGUUCUAACUUGGAUAUAACAGUAUCAAGGACAAUGUAUGGUGGGUAGUUUGACUGGGGCGGUCUCCUCCUAAAGAGUAACGGAGGAGUACGAAGGUGCGCUCAGAACGGUCGGAAAUCGUUCAAAGAGUAUAAAGGCAAAAGCGCGCUUAACUGCGAGACCCACAAGUCGAGCAGGUACGAAAGUAGGUCUUAGUGAUCCGGUGGUUCUGUAUGGAAGGGCCAUCGCUCAACGGAUAAAAGGUACUCUGGGGAUAACAGGCUGAUACCGCCCAAGAGUUCAUAUCGACGGCGGUGUUUGGCACCUCGAUGUCGGCUCAUCUCAUCCUGGGGCUGAAGCAGGUCCCAAGGGUAUGGCUGUUCGCCAUUUAAAGAGGUACGCGAGCUGGGUUUAGAACGUCGUGAGACAGUUCGGUCCCUAUCUACCGUGGGCGUUGGAAAUUUGAGAGGAUCUGCUCCUAGUACGAGAGGACCAGAGUGGACGAACCUCUGGUGUUUCGGUUGUCACGCCAGUGGCAUUGCCGAGUAGCUACGUUCGGAUGGGAUAACCGCUGAAAGCAUCUAAGCGGGAAGCCCACCUCAAGAUAAGAUUUCCCUAAGAGCCGUUGUAGACUACGACGUUGAUAGGUUGGGUGUGGAAGUGUAGUGAUACAUGUAGCUAACCAAUACUAAUUGCUCGUUUGGCUUGACCAUACAACACCCAAG
rnacentral:rRNA from 1 species